rnacentral:rRNA from 1 species
UACGUAGGGGGCGAGCGUUGUCCGGAUUUAUUGGGCGUAAAGAGCGUGUAGGCGGCCAGGUAGGUCUGCUGUGAAAACUCGAGGCUCAACCUCGAGACGUCGGCGGAAACCAUCUGGCUAGAGUCCGGAAGAGGAGAGUGGAAUUCCUGGUGUAGCGGUGAAAUGCGCAGAUAUCUGGAGGAACACCGGUGGCGAAGGCGGCAUCCUGGACCGGCAUUGACGCUGAGGCGCGAAAGCCAGGGGAGCAAACGGG